UACGUAGGGGGCUAGCGUUGUCCGGAAUCAUUGGGCGUAAAGAGCGUGUAGGCGGUCCGGUAAGUCCGUUGUGAAAGUCAGGGGCUCAACCCUUGAAUGCCGGCGGAUACUGUCGGGCUAGAGUCCGGAAGAGGCAAUCGGAAUUCUUGGUGUAGCGGUGAAAUGCGUAGAUAUCAAGAGGAACACCUGAGGUGAAGACGGGUUGCUGGGCUGACACUGACGCUGAGGCGCGAAAGCCAGGGGAGCAAACGGG
rnacentral:rRNA from 1 species